GCGCCACCUCCUCCAGCCUCGCGCAGCCGGGCCGCCCGCCGGCGCCGAGCAGCAGGCAGGGCAGCGGGCCCAGCUCCUUCCCCUGCACGCCGCUCGCCUCGUAGCUCUGCGGGGAGAGAAGCGCGGACGGUGAGACCGUCCCGGACGCGCGGCUCUCAGACGCAGGGCGUGAGGGCAGGCGCUCGGAACGGAUGGAAGGAAGGAGCACGUUGGGUUUCUGCUAAUUAAUUACAUCUCACCGUCGUGGAAAAAGCGCUGCCUCCCUGCCGGGCUUUUAAAAAUGAAUUGUUUAAACCUUCCUGCACCGGCGGGACCUCACGCGGUGCCUAUCGCCGACCUCAGCCACAGAGCAGCCCCCGCCAUACGCGAUAACCGCAUCCAGCACCGCUUCGAGGUACCGUUGGGCCCCGCGGCCCGACUCGCCGUGCGGCGGCACAGGUGGCCGCGCCGGUCCCACUCGGGGCUGCCAUAGGGCAGAAGCGGCUGAGCCCAGCCCCGCUGCCCGGGGAAGGGACUGCAAAACAUCACCCCCGUGUACCUCAGCGGAGCUGGCAACAAAAGCAACGAUGAAAAAGAAGUACCAACGGCCACUCGGAGUGGUGCUUCUUGUGGUUAAUCUACAGAGAAGCGCUGCUUUUUCACAUGCAGCCGGUUCCGAGAUGGCAAUGCUAAUGGGAAAUAAGGAAAACUGCAUCCCUGCAUCUCAGAUAGAUAGGGAAAAAAAAAAAAAAAACCCACAAAAAAGCAAAGCUGUGUUUCAAGGCCAGGCUGGAUGUGGCUCUGGGCAGCCUCGUCUGGUGCUUGGCGACCCUGCACAUAGCAGGGGGCUUGAAACUCAGUGAUCACUGUGGUCCUUUUCAACCCAGGGCAGAAUGCUGCAUAAUGUGAGGAAGGUACCACCUAAGUGCAGGCGCUUACCGAGGAUGAUUAACCAAAAAGACAAGCUGACCCUUGCCCCUUCCACGUGCAAUGGGGAGAGGGGUCUCCAGCUCCCAACAGGACUUGAUCACUUUCUGAAGGUGCCGCUCCUUCUCUACUGAUCAGCUGGCAGCCAAUGGCAGCCACGCACGUGCCCUCAGUGCCUCACUUACCUGCGAUAAAUCUGGGUCACUGUGCCAAAUGUCAGGGUUCUUCUGAUAGCCCAGAAUAAGGAGUAACUACUUCACGGUUACAUCAACUGCACUUUAGCCCGUGCAUCCCGGUGGCUUUAUGUGUAUUUCAUUUAUAUAAAUCCCAAUUACAAAGUA